rnacentral:rRNA from 1 species
UACGUAGGGACCGAGCGUUGUCCGGAAUCAUUGGGCGUAAAGAGCGUGUAGGCGGCCACUUAAGUCCUGCGUGAAAUCUUGCGGCUCAACCGCAAGCGGUCGUGGGAAACUGGGUGGCUAGAGUGCGGGAGAGGUGAGUGGAAUUCCCAGUGUAGCGGUGAAAUGCGUAGAUAUUGGGAGGAACAUCAGUGGCGAAGGCGGCUACCUGGCCCAAUACUGACACUCAGGUGCGAACAGCGUGGGGAGCAAACAGGG